rnacentral:rRNA from 1 species
GAUGAACGCUAGCUACAGGCUUAACACAUGCAAGUCGAGGGGCAUCAGGAACAAAGCUUGCUUUGUUUGCUGGCGACCGGCGCACGGGUGAGUAACGCGUAUCCGACCUACCCAUAACUCGGGCACAGCCGCUCGAAAGAGCGAUUGAUUCCCGAUAUGUCCUUGGAGUAGAUUCAAUGAUGAAAGAUUUAUCGGUUAUGGAUGGGGAUGCGUAAGAUUAGGUAGUAGGCGGGGUAACGGCCCACCUAGCCGACGAUCUUUAGGGGUUCUGAGAGGAAGGUCCCCCACACUGGUACUGAGACACGGACCAGACUCCUACGGGAGGCAGCAGUGAGGAAUAUUGGUCAAUGGGCGGAAGCCUGAACCAGCCAAGUAGCGUGAAGGAUUACAGCCCUACGGGUUGUAAACUUCUUUUGUUUGGGGAAUAAAUGAUACUACGUGUAGUAUUUUGCAUGUACCUUACGAAUAAGCAUCGGCUAAUUCCGUG